rnacentral:lncRNA from 1 species
CAAAACUGAGCAACAGCCUCAUGAAAAGCUAUGCAGUCAUGUCAGCCUCCUCCACCACAACUUUCAUUCCUCCAAUGACAGAAACUUUGUAAGCACGAACCUAAUUUUUUCAAAACAAAAUCAACUCAAACACAAUCCUUCAUUUCCCUUUCGUACAAAAACAAACCAAAAAAGAUUGCAGCUGGUAUAAACACACCCUCCUGUCAUUGUUAUCUCCGUUGCUUGAUCCAUGGCUGUCCAGAUCACUCUCUCCGUCACUUGCUCCAUCAGCUCAAUGCCGAUUGCUCUGUUACUAUCCACCGCUAACCCAGUGUCGCUCUCCAUCUUGCUCUAUUGACAUUGUACUAUUGUCUUAGCCAUC